rnacentral:rRNA from 1 species
GACGAACGCUGGCGGCGUGCUUAACACAUGCAAGUCGAACGGAAAGGCCCUGCUUUUGUGGGGUGCUCGAGUGGCGAACGGGUGAGUAACCCGUUAGUAACCUGCCCUUUACUUUGGGAUAACUUCAGGAAACUGGGGCUAAUACCGGAUAGGAGCUCCUGAUGCAUGGUGGGGGUUGGAAAGUUUCGGCGGUUGGGGAUGGACUCGCGGCUUAUCAGCUUGUUGGUGGGGUAGUGGCUUACCAAGGCUUUGACGGGUAGCCGGCCUGAGAGGGUGACCGGCCACAUGGGGACUGAGAGACGGCCCAGACGCCUACGGGAGGCAGCAGGGGGGAAUAUGGCACAAUGGGCGGAAGCCUGAUGCAGCAACGCCGCGUGCGGGAUGACGGCCUUCGAGUUGUAAACCGCUUUCGCCGGAGACGAAGCGUGAGUGACGGUAAUGGGUAAAGAAGCACCGGCUAACUACGUG